rnacentral:rRNA from 1 species
CCUACGGGGGGCUGCAGUGGGGAAUAUUGGACAAUGGGCGAAAGCCUGAUCCAGCCAUGCCGCGUGUGUGAAGAAGGCCUUCGGGUUGUAAAGCACUUUCAGUGGGGAAGAAAGCCUUGGGGCUAAUACCCUCGAGGAAGGACAUCACCCACAGAAGAAGCACCGGCUAACUCCGUGCCAGCAGCCGCGGUAAUACGGAGGGUGCGAGCGUUAAUCGGAAUUACUGGGCGUAAAGCGCGCGUAGGCGGUCUGAUAAGCCGGUUGUGAAAGCCCCGGGCUCAACCUGGGAACGGCAUCCGGAACUGUCAGGAUAGAGUGCAGGAGAGGAAGGUAGAAUUCCCGGUGUAGCGGUGAAAUGCGUAGAGAUCGGGAGGAAUACCAGUGGCGAAGGCGGUCUUCUGGACUGACACUGACGCUGAGGUGCGAAAGCGUGGGUAGCAAACAGGAUUAGAUACCCCAGUAGUC